rnacentral:rRNA from 1 species
AUUGAACGCUGGCGGCAGGCUUAACACAUGCAAGUCGAACGAGUGGCGGACGGGUGAGUAAUGCAUGGGAAUCUAGCUUAUGGCGGGGGAUAACUACGGGAAACUGUAGCUAAUACCGCGUACCAUAGGAUGAGCCCAAGUCGGAUUAGGUAGUUGGUGAGGUAAAGGCUCACCAAGCCAACGAUCCGUAGCUGGUUUGAGAGGAUGACCAGCCACACUGGGACUGAGACACGGCCCAGAAUCCUACGGGAGGCAGGAGUGGGGAAUAUUGGGCAAGGGGGGAAACCUGAUGCAGCCAUGCCGCGUGAAUGAAGAAGGCCUUCGGGUUGUAAAGUUCUGUUGGUAGCGAAGCGGUAACUACAGAAUAAGCACCGGCUAACUCCGUGCCAGCAGCCGCGGUAAUUC